AGGCUUUUCAUCGGUGGAGUGGAAGAACAAUAGCAGAGAGAGCUGCCCCCAGUGGAAGGGGAGCUAUCGGAAGCCUUGGAUGCCCAGGAGCUGAGGAGGGAACCAUGCUGUGAUGCCAGUUUUAACCACCUGCCAAGUCUGAAAGUGCUAAUUGAGAAGAGAGGAGGUUAUCAGGGGAAUCAAAGAAAUCUGGCCUGCAGUCCCCGGUGCCAGGGAAGACAUCUAAUGAUCUGUGGUCUUCUCCACAUGGUUGACUCCAAGGGGAAGGAGGCACUGGCAAGAGAUAAGAAGACUGGAAAAAGAGAUUUCUGCUUCUGACUCUGACAGAAGGGUAGUUGCUGGAGAUUGCUAAAGCGGUUUCAUCUGGCUCAUUCCGGAUUUCUGGAAUUGGCAGCCUGAGCCAAUUCCAGACAUAGCUGCAGCGGUACCUCAUUGAAACCUGAAGCAAAGGACGUAUUACAAAGAUUUUGGAGAAUGCAUGGAAUAAAGGAAGGACUGAACAAUUAAGCUAUGGGAAGAACUGAAACACAGAAGUUCCAAGACCUCCAGAAGCUGGGGAAUGGAAACAUGCUUUCUAUAGCAUUGCCUAGCGUCGUGCAACUCUGACACUCUCUGUUUCUAUGUAUCUCAAUUCAGGUUUUCCAAUUAUUAGAAGAAUUAAUCUAACUGAACAAACUUGGGUCAGAUAUCUGUAUUUUGAGAGCAUAUAGCUAUGUCCAGGGGACAGAGUAGAAUACAUAGGCUUAUCCUUGGGGUAACUACAUGGAGCUGAGCAACCAUCGCAGUUUGUGU
rnacentral:lncRNA from 1 species